UACAGAGGAGCCAAGCGUUGUCCGGAUUGACUGGGCGUAAAGCGCACGCAGGCGGUGGUGCGCGUGGGGUGUGAAAUCUGGCCGCUUAACGGCCAGGCGCCAUCCCAUACGGCACGACUGGAGGGCUGCAGAGGUCGAUGGAAUUGCCGGUGUAGUGGUGAAAUGCGUAGAGAUCGGCAGGAAUACCCAGGGGGAAACCAGUCGACUGGGCAGCAUCUGACGCUGAGGUGCGAGAGCGUGGGGAGCGAACCGG
rnacentral:rRNA from 1 species